UACGGGGGGGGCAAGCGUUGUUCGGAAUUACUGGGCGUAAAGGGCUGGUAGGCGGCCAACUAAGUCGGAUGUGAAAUCCCCAGGCUUAACCUGGGAACUGCAUCCGAUACUGGUCGGCUUGAAUCCGGGAGAGGGAUGCAGAAUUCCAGGUGUAGCGGUGAAAUUCGUAGAUAUUCGGAAGAACACCAGUGGCGAAGGCGGCUCACUGGCCCGGUACUGACGCUGAGGUGCGAAAGCGUGGGGAGCAAACAGG
rnacentral:rRNA from 1 species